rnacentral:rRNA from 1 species
UACGAAGGGUGCAAACGUUGCUCGGAAUUAUUGGGGCGUUAAAGCGCACGUAGGCGGCUUAGCAAGUCGGAAGUGAAAUCCCUCGGCUCAACCAAGGAAGUGCAUCCGAAACUGCUGAGCUUGAGUACUUAAGAGGAUCGCGGAAUUCCCGGUGUAGAGGUGAAAUUCGUAGAUAUCGGGAGGAACACCAGUGGCGAAGGCGGCGAUCUGGGGAAGAUACUGACGCUGAGGUGCGAAAGCGUGGGGAGCAAACAGG